GAUGAACGCUGGCGGCGCGCCUAACACAUGCAAGUCGAACGGAGUGUAGAACGGCUGAGUAACACGUGGGCAACCUGCCCUCCUCUUGGGGAUAGCCUCGGGAAACCGGGAUAAUACCCGAUAGAGAAGGAUGGCCCGCGGCCUGUUAGCUUGUUGGUGGGGUAGAGGCCUACCAAGGCAAUGAAGGGUAGCUGGGUUGAGAGACCGACCAGCGAGAUUGGGACUGAGACACGGGCCAGGCUCGUACGGGGGGCAGCAGUUGAGGAUCUUGCACAAUGGGCGAAGGCCGGAUGCAGCGACGCCGCGUGCGGGACGAAGGCCUUCUGGUUGUAAUCCGCUUUCAGCAGGAACGCGGUACCUGCAGAAGAAGCCCCGGCUAACUACGUGCCAGCCGCCGCGGUAAUAC
rnacentral:rRNA from 1 species